rnacentral:lncRNA from 1 species
CCAAGUUCAGCUGUAUGCGGUCACCCUGAGAUUCCUUCCUACUUGAUUAUUUCUCACAGACUUAACCAAGAAAAUAUCGUUCUGGAAGAUUGCUAGGCAGGCUUUUCCAUUGCAUUGCAGGACAACUCAGAUAAUGCAGGUCCAGUCCUCUGAGUCAUCCAGUGUGGGCUGGAGGUUUGGAACCUGGAAAUGUCUGAUCUAGGCAAGUAAUAAGCUGACGUCAAAAGACUUGGUGCACAGGUCUAUUGAAGCACCUAAGAGGAAAGACACUUCUUCAAACCUCAAAUGCUCUUUACAUCCAGCAAAUCUGGACUGGAAGUCGUUCAAUAAGAUGACUUCCCAUGAAAUGUCUGGUACUUCAUGUUUCCCGUCAGGUCAUAAAUGCCACGAGAACAGCUUUUCCUCCUCCAUUUAAAUUUGUCCAGUGCCAGUUUUGGUCUUGUCCCAAAGCCAAAAACUUUGGAGACAUUGACAGAAAAGAAAGUAAUUAACCAUAUUGGAAGAGCCCAGAGAGUUCUGUGUAGAUUCUGCUGUAGAUGCUGAGUGUACUUUGUCUACUUAUUGAAAAAAGAAAAAAAAGUGAACUGUAAAACAGCCUCAAGCAGGUCCUUCAGGAGGUAUCCAGAAGAAGGCAUUGUCAUAGGAGAUGACAGCUCCAUGCGUGUUAUUGCUCCUGAAGACCUUCCAGGAGUAGGUGCAGAGGAAUCCAAGGUGUAGGGAAUGAAAGAGCCACAAGAUGUAAGAAACCUCAGUUCCUCAAUGUAGACAUGGAAGAAAGCUUCCGGGAGCAGGCUCACUGGAUUUGGUCACAUAAUGAUCACAGAAUAAACUCUUGUGAGUUCGACUCUUUACAUCAACAAUAACUUGGCGCCCAAACACAUGGGACCUCAGAGAAGAUGCAGGACUCCGAAGGAGUUGCCCAAACUUGGAGCUAAGGUACCAGCGGGGCCCAUUAAAGCCUGUCCAACUUAGAGCUUCUCCUCUGGUGGAACUGGAAACCAAAAUCAUGGUAUUCUGAAGAUCAGAGAUAUGAAUCUCCCUCAUUUGGCAUCCCCUGGCCCUGGAUCUGUUUCACUGCUAAUAUCCUGCAGCCAAAACUAUACAAGCUGCCUCACUCUAGGCCCAGGUACUAUCGUGGAAGAGGUGGGUGCAUAAAAUUGUAAGAGCCAUUUUGAAGGAUAAAAUUAGGUCAAGAUCAAACCCUCCAAAUCCAAAAGAUGGUAAAAAAUGCCUAAACAGCUGGUAAAACAAGUUUAGUUGCCUUCUAAAUUAUUAUGUGUCACUUUUGCAUCCACCCCAACCAUAAACAUUUUCUGCUUACUAUAAAAUUAAAGGAAAAUAUUUCCUAACAGGAUAAAAUACCUUGUAACAAAGCCUCCUGGGUAUAAUACUCCCAAUUAUGAGUUGUGGAGA